GAAGGAUCAUUACCGAGCGAGCGCCGCCCGGCGCGACCUCCCACCCUCAGUCUCUACCCACCUCCGUUGCCUCGGGGGGCGACCCGGCCCCCGGGCCGCGCGCCCCCCGGUGGGCCAACCAACCCUGCCUGCCUGCGUCCGAGUACAAUGCAAAUGAAACAAAACUUUCAACAACGGAUCUCUUGGUUCUGGCAUCGAUGAAGAACGCAGCAAAAUGCGAUAAGUAAUGUGAAUUGCAGAAUUCAGUGAAUCAUCGAAUCUUUGAACGCACAUUGCGCCCCCUGGCAUUCCGGGGGGCAUGCCCGUUCGAGCGUCAUUUCACCCCUCAAGCCUGGCUUGGCCUUGGGCGACGGGGUCGUCCCGCGCCCCAAAGACGCCGGCUGGACCGACCGACCCCCAGCGUUAUGGCCUUCCGUCCGCUGGCGGGCCCGGGCGGUGCGCGCCGCGAAACUUCUUCCAGGUUGACCUCGGAUC
rnacentral:rRNA from 1 species